rnacentral:rRNA from 1 species
GUCUUUUUGAAUUAAAUUUAAAGUUUGACCUGCCCAUUGAAUUUAUUUUAAAAGGCUGCGGUAUAUUGACCGUACAAAGGUAGCAUAAUCAUUAGUUUUUUAAUUGAAAACUUGUAUGAAUGGUUGAAUGAGAAAUUAACUUUUUUUAAAAAAAAAUUGAAUUUUACUUUUUAGUUAAAAGGCUAAAAUAUGUUUAAAAGACGAGAAGACCCUAUAGAGUUUUAUAAUUAAUUUUUGUUAAUUUAAAAGAUUAUUAAAUUUAAUAUCAAUAAAAUUAUUUUAUUGGGGUGAUAAUAAAAUUUAAUAAACUUUUAUUAAUUUAAUAACAUUAAUAUAUGAUUAUUUGAUCCAAUAAUAUUGAUUAAAAAUUUAAAUUACCUUAGGGAUAACAGCGUAAUUUUUUUUUAAGCUCUUAUUAAUAAAAUAUUUUGCGACCUCGAUGUUGGAUUAAGGUUAAAUUUUAGGUGCAGCAGCUUAAAUUUUAAGUCUGUUCGACUUUUAAAUCCUU